GGCUUGAUGCCACAUCUCUGGUAGCUACAAACCUACAAGCUUUGACAAGAGAUGCUAUGAUUAGGCCGAUACAAAGUUGUUUCUGCUUCUUUAUCUCUGUAUCAUACUAGCACUUAUUAGGAUAUAGCUAGAUUGUUUAGGUACUAGAUUU
rfam:Zea mays cultivar B73 chromosome 7, whole genome shotgun sequence.